rnacentral:RNase_P_RNA from 1 species
UAUGAGGUCUGGGCAAUCGCGGGACGCAAGUCUUGAGGAAAGUCCAUGCUCGCACAGCCUGUGAUGGCUGUAGUGAUCGUGCUACACGAAAAGAUAAGUGUAGGCAACGCAAGUUGACGGCAGAAGAAGCACCUAAGUCCUCGGAUAUGGUGCAAGCUUCUUGAAAGUGCCACAGUGACGGAGUCUGAUCGGAAACGUUCAGAGUGGAACGAGGUAAACCCCACGAGCGAGAAACCCAAACUAUGGUAGGGGAACUUCCUGACUGGAACCGAACGGGACGGAAGGCGCCAAUCGGCGCAGAUAGAUGAUUGUCACUCCAUCGUGCCAGGGAGACCGUUAUGAGCACCGGAGUACAGAACAUGGCUUACAGGGCAGCAUAGUCU